rnacentral:lncRNA from 1 species
CAAAACACGCGGUACGGCAACUUUUACUCGCGAGCUCUGAGCUAAAUUGAUGCAGAAAAUAUGAUUUAGUCUCAAUCUGUCCCUGUUUUUGUUACGCGUGCGUGACUCUGGUGCCUGAUCCGUUACUGUCAUUAGAUAAUGCAUAAAAAUCUCAUAGAAUCCCUGAUUGGAGCACGUCGUUUUUAAGUGGAGGUGAUGUCUGACCUGCGGGUUUAAUUGGGUAUGGAGGACUAGUGGACUUUCUAAGAAUGGACACCAAUCCUCCACGUCCCGCGAUAGCGUUUUUUAUUUAUGCCUCGAUAACCUCGUAUGGUGUGUGUGCGGCACAUCAUCACGUUUCCGCUUUCCGUUUUUUCCACCCACGGAAAAGAACAACAGGAAUUGCUGUCACACCUUGUGGCACCAGCACCAGAUGGUCCAAAUCCUUUGAAUACUUUGUAGGCUUUUUUUUUUGUUCACUCCAAUCUAGGACUUGCUCUUCUCGUCUCUUCGGCCGCCCUUCCUGCGUAGAAUGGGCAGACUUGUUCGGUAACAAGAGAUAAAAUUAUACCAUAGAUUUAAUCCGGAUCUAGAUUAGAUGAAUCUAUAUUUUACACCUAAUCUCAUAGUAGGAUUAAAUCCAUCAUUUAAUCAAUAUAUCUUUCAAAGCUAAUUAUUCUUUUGAUCCAUGAAUUCUAAUAUAAACUUGUGCAAUAUCGUCAUGGAUUUGUAUCGUAACUAAUGAGUUAUAGAUAGAAUCAAUACCUUUCAUAGUUAAAAAACCUUUCCAAACCCUUGGGUUAUAAUUAAUGAGGAGGCUUUGUUCGGUUAUUCCUAUCUUAUGUAGAUUGAAUGAGAUUGAAAAAAAAUUAUAAAAGAUUUUGAUUUUGUUUGGGAAUUAAACUCACUCAAUCCCAUCCAAUCCACAUGUAUUGAGAACAAAACGAACAAUCCCUGAUGUGUUUAACCGAAUAAAAUAAUUUGAAUAGACAUGGAUUAUUUUGGGAUAUGGAUUGUGGUAUGAAUUUAAUUCCAAUUUAUACUAAUCCACAGCUGGAUUGGUAUAAAACGAACAAGGCCGGCGAAGCAACUGAGCUGACUUGUUAGUAGACAGGAAGAAUCACUUUUACGGGCGAGGGCCUCUGCCGGUCGCUCGGCAAUUAUAUAAAUAAUAAAUAGAGAUCUAUAUAAACAAAAAGCUCGAUGCUUCCUUUCGUGCGAUUUGGACGGAACGCUGUCGAGCAGCAGGGCCACUUUGGUGGGUUUAUCCUGAUUGGACGAAAUGGGUAUGUCUCUAGAAGCAACAUAUUUUGAUGCGUGAUGGGACUCAUCAUCGACAGGAUUAUAUAUGCACGGGGAACAAGCACACCACACCAGUUGCGACUGCAAAGACCUAAUUAACAUGCCCUGGAAAAAGAUAGCAGGGAAAUAUCCACCACAUAUAUAUUUGUAUACUACUAUGUUAGUAGUGCGUUUCCUCAUUUGGCGAUAAGCUAUUUUUUUUUAAAAUUAAAAAAAUAGCAACCUGGCCAGUGCUAGCUAUUCUGAGUAUAUGCAUGAGAUAAAGCAUUUAACUGGGGGGCAUCUGAAUAAACAUGAAGACCGGAUUCUGUCUAGAAGCAGCAACUUUAAUUGUUCCUACUAAAGGGCAGCUGAUUCUCAUUGUAAUCGCACCGCCGUCUCGUCUAGCUAGCUAGGCCUGGUUAUUUGUGUAGAUGGAAUUAGGUAUUUGACCUGGAAGUUGGCCGGGGUUGCUCGAGUCAGCUAACCAGAGUUGCCUAUUAGCGAAACCUGAUUGAUUGGGAGGAAGGAAGCGAAACCUGAACCGAUCUGAUUGAUUGGGAGGAAGGAAGCGACCGGGCUGGGGAGGAACCUAGAAUAGAAUAGGACGAGUAGGACAAUCCCCAUCUUCCGUAGUAGUAGCAGUAGGCAAUUGAACUCCUUUGGGGCAUGUUCGGUUACACCAAUGUAUAAUGGGAUUGGAGAUUAAAUCCCUUCAUAGUCACUAUGAGGACUAGUUUGGAAACUCGAAUUCCCUUCGGGAUUGAAGAGAAUUGAGAGGAAAUUAGUUUAUUUCCACCUUAGGGCUUGUUCGUUUUGUUCUCAAUCCAUGUGGAUUGGGUGGGAUUGGAUAGGUUUCAAUCCCAAAUAAGUCAAAAUCUUUCAUAAUUUUUUUCAAUCCCAUCCAAUCCACACGGGAUAGGAAUAACCGAACAAGCCCUUAAUCCCCUCCAAUCCUGAAGGGGAUUUGAGGUUCCCAAAGUAGCCCUGAGGGGAUUUAAUCUCCUACAAUCCCCUUCUGAAUUGGUGUAACCGAACAAGCCUUUGGGGAGGGGCUUAGUAAUAGCGCACACAGGCAACAGCUAGGAUCAUAUCGUGUAGGGACACAAAGUAACCAGUACCGUAUCGCUACGAUCAAUCCAAUUCAGUUCUGGACGAUAGGAGCCAUCCGUUUUCCUUUUCAUUCGUUUCUCCCUCUCCCUUUCUUGUUCGUCUUCUCUAUUAUCUCUUUAAAGAGGGAGUAAUACAUUUAAAUUCAAAAGAGGUAGUACCUUUAAAAAGAGAGAGUAAGAGUAUGUUUGGUAGGACUUUGGCUCUUCUAAAAAUGGUUCUGACUCCCGCUCCUCUGCAGAGUAGCAGCUCCACAGGAGUCCGUGCUUUUUAACCAAUCAUUUGGUGAAACGGUGUGGGCAUCUAACCUCUCAGUAGUGCCUUGGUAAUUAAUGACAAAUAUGUGUGGACUGACGAUUUCUCUGAUAAAGUAAGGUUGCAGGUUGGUCCAUGUACUACAUCUAGUCUUCAAAUGCUUGAUGUUUUGGACAUGAUCUUGUAUAUAUACCAAGGAACUAUUAAA